rnacentral:rRNA from 1 species
ACGCUCGACACCUACGGGAGGCAGCAGUUAGGAAUAUUCGUCAAUGGGGGAAACCCUGAACGAGCAAUGCCGCGUGAGUGAUGAAGGCCCUAUGGGUUGUAAAACUCUGUUGUUGAGAAAGAAUUGUAAGAUUAGGAAAUGAGUCUUACUUGACGGUACUCUUCAAGAAAGCCUACGGCUAACUACGUGCCAACAGCCGCGGUAAUCUGAGCGGGCUGGCAAGGC